AGCCAUACCGCGUGUGUGAAGAAGGCCUUCGGGCUGUAAAGCACUUUAAGUAAGGAAGAAAAGUAUGUUGCUAAUACCAAUAUACCGUGACAUUACUUACAGAAUAAGGACCGGCUAAUUCCGUGCCAGCAGCCGCGGUAAUACGGAAGGUCCAAGCGUUAAUCGGAAUUACUGGGCGUAAAGCGCGCGUAGGUGGUUUAUUAAGUUGGGUGUGAAAGCCCCGGGCUCAACCUGGGAACUGCAUCCAAAACUGAUUCACUAGAGUACGAAAGAGGGAGGUAGAAUUCACAGUGUAGCGGUGGAAUGCGUAGAUAUUGUGAAGAAUACCAAUGGCGAAGGCAGCCUCCUGGUUCUGUACUGACACUGAGGUGCGAAAGCGUGGGUAGCGAACAGGAUUAGAUACCCUGGUAGUCCACGCCGUAAACGAUGACAACCAGCUGUUGGAAAGCAAUGCUUUUCAGUGGCGCAGCUAACGUCUUAAGUUGUCCGCCUGGGGAGUACGGCCGCAAGGUUAAAACUCAAAUGAAUUGACG
rnacentral:rRNA from 1 species